rnacentral:tRNA from 1 species
GCGGUGGUGGCCGGCUUGCUCGCCGCCGGCUUGGCCGGAGCCGGGGCCGGCUUGCUCGCCGCCGGCUUGGCCGGAGCCGGGGCCGGCUUGCUGGCC